rnacentral:rRNA from 1 species
UAAUUCCAGCUCCAAUAGCGUAUAUUAAAGUUGUUGCAGUUAGAACGCUCGUAGUCGGAUUUCGGGGCGGGCCGACCGGUCUGCCGAUGGGUACGCACUGGUCGGCGCGUCCUUCCUUCCGGAGACCGUGCCUACUCUUAACUGAGCGGGGGCGGGAGACGGAACGUUUACUUUGAAAAAAUCAGAGUGUUUCAAGCAGGCAGCUCGCUCUUGCAUGGAUUAGCAUGGGAUAAUGAAAUAGGACUUUGGUGCUAUUUUGUUGGUUUCGAACACCGAAGUAAUGAUGAGAAGGGACAGUCAGGGGCACUCGUAUUCCGCCGAGAGAGGUGAAAUUCUCAGACCAGCGGAAGACGAACCACUGCGAAAGCAUUUGCCAGGGAUGUUUUCACUGAUCAAGAACGAAAGUUAGGGGAUCGAAGACGAUCAGAUACCGUCGUAGUCUUAACCAUAAACCAUACCGACUAGGGAUUGGAGGAUGUUCACUGAUUGACUCCUUCAGCACCUUACGGGAAACUAAAGUCUUUGGGUUCCGGGGGGAGUAUGGUCGCAAGGCUGAAACUUAAAGGAAUUGACGGAAGGGCACCACCAGGUGUGGAGCCUGCGGCUUAAUUUGACUCAACACGGGGAAACUUACCAGGUCCAGACAUUGUGAGGAUUGACAGAUUGAGAGCUCUUUCUUGAUUUGAUGGGUGGUGGUGCAUGGCCGUUCUUAGUUGGUGGAGUGAUUUGUCUGGUUAAUUCCGUUAACGAACGAGACCUUAGCCUGCUAAAUAGUGACGCGAACACUUCGUUCGCGGGCCACUUCUUAGAGGGACAACUUGUCUUCAACAAGUGGAAGUUUGAGGCAAUA